UACGUAGGGUCCGAGCGUUGUCCGGAAUUAUUGGGCGUAAAGGGCUCGUAGGCGGUUUGUCGCGUCGGGAGUGAAAAUCCAGGGCUUAACUCUGGACUGGCUUCCGAUACGGGCAGACUAGAGGUAUGCAGGGGAGAACGGAAUUCCUGGUGUAGCGGUGAAAUGCGCAGAUAUCAGGAGGAACACCAGUGGCGAAGGCGGUUCUCUGGGCAUUACCUGACGCUGAGGAGCGAAAGUGUGGGGAGCGAACAGG
rnacentral:rRNA from 1 species